CACUAUUAGCUACCUAAGUUACAGGUCGGUAACAAAAAGGAGCUACAUGUUUGUUCAGUCAACUAGAGCUUGGUUUAUUUUUCAAAAUGAAUUCUUAAGAAUACAUUAUAUUCGGAGAUGAGAAUCAUGUCCUAAACGAACAGAAAUUUUAUUUAUGUUGUCAAGCUUCUGAGAUUAGAGAGUUAAGAGAUUGAUAAUUCGUGAACUACGGAAAAUGGGAAUUAUCGUGAAUGUCGUAAUUGAAUGUCGUAAUUCCUUUAGCGGCCUUUAUGCACCACCCCAAAGUAGUAGAGCCAUGUCAUGCCUUGCACUACUGAAUAUGUGCUAUCGAGUUGUUUAUCUAUCUCGCAAGAUACGUCAAUUCAUAAUUCACUGAUGACAACUUUCCUAUGCAUAACUUUCCUAUUUUUUAUUCGGAUUGUACUCAAACUUUCACUGACAUGUUCCCCUCAAUUUUUUGUUUCUGUUAAAAACCGACCUAAAAUCCUAAGAGGACUUUCCCUUUAAAGUUCUAACUUUUGAAAUAAUUGAAAGCCAAAGUUCUUUAUUCAAUUUUUAGGGGGUGGGGUGAGGUGAAUCGAAAUGCCCUUAGAACAUCAGAAUGUCGACCAUCCGAUGUUUUCUCCGGGCUUCAUUUCGUCAAUGGGAUAGGGUUAGGAUUAGAGUUACGACACUGUUAUUGCUUCUUCAUUUCAAAAAUGAAAUAUCAAAAAUACUUCCAUAGGCGAUUUACAAAUUAAUAACUUCCAUAUUAUAAUAGUACAUAAGUCAGAAUCAUAAAUGUGAACAAAAAUGGAUGAAGGCAAAUGGAAAUAGUACGGCCUUUUAAACUACACUAUGGGUUUUCACUUUUUAAGAUGAGCGUGAAGCUUCCCUUUACGUACAGCAAUAGUUUGUUCAAUUUUCUCAAGGUAAAGCAUAUCUGCCUGAAAAAGACUGAAAAUCAACUUUUUAUCAAAAUUGUUGUUUGUCUGAAUAAAGUAUUUACCAUAAAAUAUAA